GCUUACCAUGCAAGUCGAACGGUAACGCGGGGCAACCUGGCGACGAGUGGCGAACGGGUGAGUAAUACAUCGGAACGUGCCCAGUAGUGGGGGAUAGCCCGGCGAAAGCCGGAUUAAUACCGCAUACGACCUACGGGUGAAAGCGGGGGAUCGCAAGACCUCGCGCUAUUGGAGCGGCCGAUGUCAGAUUAGGUAGUUGGUGAGGUAAAGGCUCACCAAGCCUUCGAUCUGUAGCUGGUCUGAGAGGACGACCAGCCACACUGGGACUGAGACACGGCCCAGACUCCUACGGGAGGCAGCAGUGGGGAAUUUUGGACAAUGGGCGCAAGCCUGAUCCAGCCAUGCCGCGUGCGGGAAGAAGGCCUUCGGGUUGUAAACCGCUUUUGUCAGGGAAGAAACGCUCCGGGCCAAUACCCUGGGGUAAUGACGGUACCUGAAGAAUAAGCACCGGCUAACUACGUGCCAGCAGCCGCGGUAAUACGUAGGGUGCAAGCGUUAAUCGGAAUUACUGGGCGUAAAGCGUGCGCAGGCGGUUAUGCAAGACAGAUGUGAAAUCCCCGGGCUUAACCUGGGAACUGCAUUUGUGACUGCAUAGCUAGAGUGCGGCAGAGGGGGAUGGAAUUCCGCGUGUAGC
rnacentral:rRNA from 1 species